CGCCACCGGCCGCGGCUCCUUCUCUUCCCCGGGACCGAGGGGAAACCGGCGCCUGCUGGGUGCGCUACGGGCCGGGCUCUUUGAGGAAGCCGCUGCACCGGGCCGGGUGUUCCGGCUACCUGCGGCUACUCCGGGUCGGGUUCCGCUCGCGAGGCUCCGGCGCUGCCCGGUAGGUGCUGCCCGCAACUCGACUCGGUGCCCCCCGACCCGUAGGUAGCCGUUGCUGCCCCCGUCCCCUCCCGCGGUCGAACCCCCCGGCUCGGGGCUGGCGGCUCUUGCCGGGACCCCCGGGGGACCCUGGGCGGGCGCCGGCCGGCGGCGGGACCCCGGCUUCCCAGUGGCGGGAGCUGCCGGCUCUGCCCCGCCGGCCCGGCAGCCCCGGGUGAGCGCUCCCCGCCCCGCUCCCCGGUGUGGGAUCCCGGGGGUGCCCGGCCGGGGCCCGCUGACUUUCCCGGCGGGUUUCGGCACCGACCCUUCGGCGUCCCCUCUCGGGGGGCAGCGGCCGCAGCUCGGCCCGUGGGGCUGGGGGACCCCGGCAGCCCCCCGCCUCCGCUACGGUGUCAGCCCUGGCUCGAACCGUGACCCGGCGACCGGCCGUGGGGGCCCCGCACGCCGCGUCUCCCGCCCGGUGCCCGCCCGGGGCAGGUGGGGACCCGGCGGGGCUGGGGGUCUCCCGGUGACCCCUCCUGCCGCCGGGCUCCCCCCGGCACGGGCACCGGCUGCUUUCUUCUCCCCAGCUCCUUCCCAGAGCGGCGGCCGGCAGGAUGGAUCCCUCUGGCCUGGUGCUGGCCCUGCCGGAGCCGGGAGAGCUCGGACUGUUCAAAACAUGCUGUGGCGGGAGCAGAGGCUGCUUCAGGGCCCCAACGAGCUCCUGCAGCCCCAUCGGUGAGACGGGGAAGCCAGAUGGGGUGUGAGGGCUGUACUGGUGCUGCUGGUGCCUCGGGAGGUGUUGGCGGCACAGGCGACGCCUGGGGAAGGCUCAUCGGGGCGCCCGGACGAGGAGCGCGGCCCCGAAGCGGCGAGCGCCGGGGGACACCGGUCACGGAGGACGUGCCGGGUGAGGUCCAGCUCCUGGCUGCUCCAGGUCAGUUGUGGCUCUGGUUGUAGGUGCAGCUCAUGAACAGCUCCAGCUCAUGGAUGGCUCGGGCUCAUCUCAGCUCCUGUUUGUUGUGGCUCCAGCUCACCUGCAGCUUCAGGGCCAGCUCCAGUUUGGGUUUGACUGCAGCUCCUGUUCCUGUCCAGCCAAUUUUGGGUUCCAGUUUGUCUGAGGCUGCAGCUUGUUUUCACCUGCAGCUUGGGGGCUGUUCCAGGCAGCAGGGACAGAUGGAUGCCGAGACCUGGAAGAAGCCGCGCUGCCUGCCCUGUGCGUGGCCUCGCUUGCACCCGCCCGGGGAUGGUGCCUGGACUGUGCGGCUCCAGGUGCAGCUGACGGAUGGCUUGACCUUGUUCCAGCUCCUGUUCCUUGUGGUGCCAUCUCACCUGCAGCUUCAGACUGGUUGUUUCUGCCCAAGGAUGUGGCCACUCGGGCUUGUUCACAGCUCCAGGUCCUACUCAGCUCAGCAGAGGCUCCAGAUUUUUGUUCUUCUUUCCAAUGAAGCAAGAACAAUGGCAAACACGAGAAUCUUUUGGACUCAAGUUGGUUUGGAUUCCAGUUUGGGCUCGUCUCCUCUACCUCCAGCUCAGUUUCCGCUCCAGUUGGUUUUCAGCUUGUGCUUGCUCAAGUGCUCCUGGCUUUUUGCCAAGGUCGUCAAUCAAUCACUGUCACAAGUUCUCUAUGAAUAUGAACUGUCAUAAUUGUACAUGGUCUAAAUAUGGCCCAAUGCCCCUCCCAGUAGCUGUACACACCUUGAAUAAAGAGUUGAACAGUCACGAAAAAA